rnacentral:miRNA from 1 species
UGGGCUGGCCAAAAAGUUCGUUUGGGUUUUUCAGUAAGAUGCAACAGAAAAAUCUGAAUGAACUUUUUGGCCAACACAAU